GUGCUCACUUCAGCAGCACACACACUAAAAUUGGAACCAUACAGAGAAGAUUAGCAAGGCCCCUGUGCAACGACGACACGGAAAUUCAUGAAGCGUUCCAUAUUUUU